GUAACGGCGAGUGAAGCGGCAACAGCUCAAAUUUGAAAUCUGGCCUCCUCGGGGUCCGAGUUGUAAUUUGUAGAGGGUGUUUCGGGCGCGAUGCCGGUCUAAGUUCCUUGGAACAGGACGUCGUAGAGGGUGAGAAUCCCGUAUGCGACCGGCGAUCAAGCCUGUGUGAAGCCCCUUCGACGAGUCGAGUUGUUUGGGAAUGCAGCUCAAAAUGGGUGGUAAAUUUCAUCUAAAGCUAAAUACUGGCCAGAGACCGAUAGCGGACAAGUAGAGUGAUCGAAAGAUGAAAAGCACUUUGGAAAGAGAGUCAAACAGUACGUGAAAUUGUUGAAAGGGAAGCGCUUGCAAUCAGACCGGUCCGGAGGUGAUCAGCCGCUGCUCGUCAGCGGUGCACUCGCCUGCGAUCCGGCCAGCAUCGGUUCGGGCGGUGGGAUAAAAGUCCCGGGAAUGUAGCUUCCUUCGGGGAGUCUUAUAGCCCGGGUCGCAAUGCCGCCCGCCCGGACCGAGGACCGCGCUUC
rnacentral:rRNA from 2 species